ACCCUAUACAACCCCCUGACGCCUUCCGUCCUGUAGAUCUUCGUCAAACCAUCAAUCAUCCCAUUGUAUCUCUUGUGUUCGGCGAUGGUGUGCUCCUCGCUGUACUGGAGGCAGAGCCUGGUCUUAACGACCCAUAUGGGGUUGGUCAUCACCAAUGAUAGUAUGCCAGCCUGAGCUGCGGCCAGCAUGUGGAGACCUGGCCCGAGAGGUGUUCGUGCGUUACCCCCUUGUAUCCACGUUUUUAUUGCGUUAUAGCUGAAAGUAUACACGCGAAUCGAUUUUUAAUGUUUUUAUUAUAAUCAUUUUGAUUCCAGGACUUUCGUUAUUGUCAGACCAAGGUUUGUAUAGAAAAAAGAAACAUGGUGGUGAGU
rnacentral:misc_RNA from 1 species